rnacentral:lncRNA from 1 species
UGCGUGGGGUGGGCACAGGGAUGGCCUCUGUCCUCAGUAAGUGAACGUCACUGGGUGCAGCCAGACAGCUGCUCAAGGCCAGGGUAGAGCUGGAGGAUCCCUGUGCCUCUGAGGCACAGACAGCCUUUGUGCCCAUGUGCGUAAAGGAGGGCGGGAGGCUGUAGUAGUCUGUGAACCGGAGCUCUUUGAGUACCUGUGUUCCCCCAUACUCUGCAUCUGCCCAGCUCCACUCGCGGUCUGCUGGACUCAGCAGGGCCGUCCAUCCCAGCCUCAGCUCUCAGCUUGCUGCUGUCUCCUUCCUGGAGCUUUCGUCCAUGGAGGGAGUGUGCAGGCUGGGGUCCACGAAGGUGAAGGUGCUGAGCCUCUCCCUCACCUGCCGCCCACCUGCACCCCCAUUUGUGCUGCAGAUGAUGAAGGACCCAAGACAGCGGACUGGUGACUCCUCAUCCUGGGACCCUGGAGUCAGCCUCCUCUGAGAGGCUCUCAAUGCUCCUGGAGUGGGUGCAGGAGGAGCCCCGUGCUCAGAACAAGUGAGUCCGCUUGGCGAUUGCCAUGGGCACUGGCUUUAAGCCCCAGCUGUGUGGACACUGGCGUGCCCUGUGCACACCAGGGCUCUGUGGACAUGAGCGGCUCCUGUUCUGCCUGAUGCCAGAGGGGCAGCGGCAUCUGACAACCCAGUGGCCCACUCCUGCUGAGAACCUGGGUGGGCACCUCCCAUCUGGAGAGUGCGUCAGCCAUCCGGCAGCCACACAACUUCCCAUGGCUUUGCUAUUAAAUGAGGCCAGUAAUGCAGCUCCAAGUGUGUGGUCUGUUUCCAGCCCUUGACCCUCAGGAUUCUUGGUUUGUUUCCUCAUCUCCCCUCAAUUUGGCCUGCUUCUAGUAGAUUUCUUUUUUUAAAGAAAGGAUUUACAAGGAGCUGGAGAGAUGGCUCAGUGGUUAAGAGCACCGACUGCUCUUCCAGAGGUCCUGGGUUUGAUUUCCAGCAACCACAUGGUGGCUCACAACCAUCUGUAAUGAGAUCUGAUGUCCUCUUCUGGUGUCUGAAGACAGUUACUGUGUACUUAUAUAUAAUAAAUUAAAAAAUAUUUAAAAAAGAAAGGGUUUACAAUAGCCCAAGCUGACCUAAUACUAGGUGUGUGCUCUAAGAUGGCCCUGAGCUUAUGGUAAUCCUCCUGCUGCAGCCUCUCGGGGAUUACAGACAGGACCCACCACAGCUGGUUUAGAACCGAG